UACAGAGGGUACAAGCGUUAAUCGGAAUUACUGGGCGUAAAGCGCACGUAGGCGGUUUUUUAAGUCAGAUGUGAAAGCCCCGGGCUCAACCUGGGAAUUGCAUUUGAAACUGGGAAACUAGAGUGUGUGAGAGGGGGGUAGAAUUCCAAGUGUAGCGGUGAAAUGCGUAGAGAUUUGGAGGAAUACCAGUGGCGAAGGCGGCCCCCUGGCACAACACUGACGCUCAGGUGCGAAAGCGUGGGGAGCAAACAGG
rnacentral:rRNA from 1 species